GCGAGAGUAGUACAGCGGUAGUACACUUGCUUCCCAAGCAAGAGAUGCGGGUUCGACUCCCGUCUCUCGCUCCA
rnacentral:tRNA from 1 species